rnacentral:piRNA from 1 species
GGAAAUCAAAUGGCCCAAAGACUGAGGUGUC